AGAGUUUGAUCCUGGCUCAGAGCGAACGCUGGCGGCGUGCCUAACACAUGCAAGUCGAACGUGAAAGGGGGCAACCCCGAGUAAAGUGGCGUACGGGUGAGUAACACGUAGGCAAUCUACCUGAGAGUCUGGGAUAACCUGCCGAAAGGCGGGCUAAUACUGGAUAGAGCGAUGGAAUCCGUAAUUGGGUUUUUCGGGAAAGGGAGCUCGUAAGGGCCCUUGCUCUCAGAUGGGCCUGCGUCCCAUCAGCUAGUUGGCGAGGUAAUGGCUCACCAAGGCGAUGACGGGUAGCUGGUCUGAGAGGAUGAUCAGCCACACUGGAACUGAAACACGGUCCAGACUCCUACGGGAGGCAGCAGUGGGGAAUCUUGCGCAAUGGACGGAAGUCUGACGCAGCCACGCCGCGUGAGUGAAGAAGGCCUUCGGGUUGUAAAGCUCUGUCGAGCGGGACGAAAGACCGCAGGGUGAAUAGCCUUGUGGAGUGACGGUACCGCUAAAGGAAGCACCGGCUAACUCUGUGCCAGCAGCCGCGGUAAUACAGAGGGUGCAAGCGUUGCUCGGAAUCAUUGGGCGUAAAGGGCAGGUAGGUGGUCUCAUUUGUCUGGGGUGAAAGCCUUGGGCUUAACUCAAGAAGUGCCCCGGAAACGGUGGGACUGGAGUCCUGGAGAGGAUCGUGGAAUUCCCGGUGUAGCGGUGAAAUGCGUAGAGAUCGGGAGGAACACCAGAGGCGAAAGCGGCGAUCUAGACAGGAACUGACACUCAACUGCGAAAGCGUGGGGAGUAAACAGGAUUAGUACCCUGGUAGUCCACGCUGUAAACGAUGGGUACU
rnacentral:rRNA from 1 species